UACGAAGGGGGCUAGCGUUGCUCGGAAUUACUGGGCGUAAAGCGCACGUAGGCGGCUCUUUAAGUCGGAGGUGAAAUCCUGGAGCUCAACUCCAGAACUGCCUUCGAUACUGAAGAGCUCGAGUCCGGGAGAGGUGAGUGGAACUGCGAGUGUAGAGGUGAAAUUCGUAGAUAUUCGCAGGAACACCAGUGGCGAAGGCGGCUUACUGGUCCUUAACUGACGCUGAGGCGCGAAAGCAUGGGGAGCGAACGGG
rnacentral:rRNA from 1 species